AGUGAUGAUUUCUGAAAAUCUUAUUAUUAUUCGGCAUAUUAUUUGGUAUAUUUUAAGAAUAUUACCGUACUAUUUAUCUUUUAUUCAAAAUUGGUAGCGAGUAUCUUACAGUUGAGCCCACACUUCUUACUUGUUUUUAUCUGAUCUUUGACAAUUAACCAUGAGGUGGAUUCCGAAUUUAUUUCUUUUUGCACUGCUGUGCUCAGUUGCAUUAGCUAUUCCAGGAAGUCUUCCCACAAGACCACCUUCACCAACUAGACCACCGCCCGCAGGGUGGGGAAAGUGAUUAUUUCAACUACAAUGUUCUAAAUGAAAAGGAAAUAAAUAUAAUUCAAGUGUAUAUUUUGUUGAAAA